CAUGGUGAAACCCGUCUCUGCUAAAAAUACAAAAAUUAGCUGGCCGUGGUGGUGUGCGCCUGUAGUCCCAGCUAAUAGGAAGACUGAGUCACGAGAAUUGCUCAAGCUUCGAAGGCAGAGGUUGCAGUGAGCUAAGAUCAUACCACUGCACUCU